AAUAAAUGGACUACACUAGGCAGGCUGCAUUUUUUGGGCCCCCCAUCGAGGUUAUUUAUGAAUUGAAAUCUGAAACUUACCAAAGUUACUAAUAAAAGUGAAUUCACAUUUUACAUAGCCUAGUCUUUGCUUACAAAUUGGUUGUUUGUAUACCAAAUUAAGUCAUGUGUUGUAUAUUAACCAGUCUAUCAGACAUUUUUUGCUAAAUUUAUUAUUUAUACGUCAUUACACGGCUCUAUUAAAUGCUAUUAAAUUAUCCUCACCUUAUCCAUUGGGAGUGUCAUUGUUAAGGCAGUAGUACAAGUAAAUAACCAAUAGGUGUCAGUAAUCCGCGGGAGAGCUUCGCUGCAUAUUUCUCUUCAAGAUUGAGAAUCGCAACGAAAUCCUCGUCGAGCAACACGUCCACUGAGCAACCAUGUCUGUGUCCUUAAAGGAACUCUGUCAGGUACAGAGUGGAACGAUGAACUUGAAAAUCAACCAUUCUGAUGACUGGCGUCCCCAUCCGAGUCACCACCUCAGACAACAACAGUCAUAAACUCACAAACACAAAUACACUCAGUAAUGCGCUUAAUAAAGAAAGACUUAACUAUGA